UACCCGCUGAACUUAAGCAUAUCAAUAAGCGGAGGAAAAGAAACCAACAGGGAUUGCCUUAGUAACGGCGAGUGAAGCGGCAAAAGCUCAGAUUUGAAAUCUGGCGUCAUUUUGGCGUCCGAGUUGUAAUCUGUAGAGGAGUAUUCGAGUGUAGCUUUGGCUUAAGUUCCUUGGAACAGGGCGUCAUAGAGGGUGAGAACCCCGUUAACGGCCUUAGUCUUAUGCUCAUGUGAAUCUCCUUCAACGAGUCGAGUUGUUUGGGAAUGCAGCUCUAAAUGGGUGGUAAAUUCCAUCUAAAGCUAAAUACUGGCAAGAGACCGAUAGCGCACAAGUAGAGUGAUCGAAAGAUGAAAAGAACUCUGAACAGAGAGUUAAAUAGUACGUGAAAUUGUUGAAAGGGAAGCACUUGCGACCAGACACACUUGCAAUUGAUCAACCUCCAUUUUUGGUGGUGCACUCGGUUGUAGGUGGGUCAGCAUCAGUUACGGCGGUGGGAAAAAGACCAAGGGAAUGUGGCUCUCUUCGGGGAGUGUUAUAGCCCUUGGUGUAAUGCCGCCAGCUGUGACUGAGGACCGCGCUUUUGUGAGGAUGCUGACAUAAUGGUCGUAAGUGACCCGUCUUGAAACACGGACCAAGGAGUCUAACAUCUAUGCGAGUGUUUGGGUGUCAAAACCCUUACGCGUAAUGAAAGUAAAUGGAGGUGGGAACCGCAAGGUGCACCAUCGACCGAUCCUGAUGUUUUCGGAUGGAUUUGAGUAGGAGCAUAGCUGUUGGGACCCGAAAGAUGGUGAACUAUGCCUGAAUAGGGUGAAGCCAGAGGAAACUCUGGUGGAGGCUCGCAGCGGUUCUGACGUGCAAAUCGAUCGUCAAAUUUGGGUAUAGGGGCGAAAGACUAAUCGAACCAUCUAG
rnacentral:rRNA from 1 species